rnacentral:rRNA from 1 species
CGGACGGGUGAGUAAUGCCUAGGAAUCUGCCUGGUAGUGGGGGACAACGUUUCGAAAGGAACGCUAAUACCGCAUACGUCCUACGGGAGAAAGCAGGGACCUUCGGGCCUUAGCGCUAUCAGAUGAGCCUAGGUCGGAUUAGCUAGUUGGUGAGGUAAUGGCUCACCAAGGCGACGAUCCGUAACUGGUCUGAGAGGAUGAUCAGUCACACUGGAACUGAGACACGGUCCAGACUCCUACGGGAGGCAGCAGCA